GAUGAAGAACUUAGCGAAAUGCGAUACGUAAUGUGAAUUGCAGAUUUCAGUGAAUCAUCGAAUCUUUGAACGCACAUUGCGCCCGCCAGUAUUCUGGCGGGCAUGCCUGUUCGAGCGUCAUUUCAACCAUCAAGCGCCUCGCUUGUGUUGGGGCCCUGCGGCUGCCGCAGGCCCCUAAAUCCAGUGGCGGGCUCGUCGUCGUACCGAGUGCAGUAAACAUCCUCGCUCAGGGAACCCGACGGGUGCCGGCCGUGAAACCCCCCCUCCUCAAGGUUGACCUCGGAUCAGGUAGGAAUACCCGCUGAACUUAAGCAUAUCAAUAAGCGGAGGA
rnacentral:misc_RNA from 1 species